GGGCCUGAUCCUUCGGUUUCUUUUUUCAAAAGAAACUUGUAAAGAAAAUAAAAUUCAAGUAUAAGAAUUUCAGUUAAAAACAAAAAUAAAAAAAAACUACUUUUGGGUGCGAAGAAGAGGCUGAAUGAUUGGCUCUUUCUAAGAUUGAACACUCUUCUUUGAGCUUGAGAGGAUGCUUGAGAAGUUGUGGAAUCUCUUAAAUGCUCUAUGAAUUCAAAACUUGGUUCCUCUCUUUUUUUUUCUUUUUGAUGUGCAAUGAAAUUUUCUUAAUCUAAAAAUGAUUUCUCUUUUAAACCCCACUUCUCUUCCUUCCAAAUUGAUUCUCUAGCCUUAAAUAGUCUUGAAGAUGGCUAGAGAAGGAGUUUUGACCAUUAAAAGGGCUGAUGUAGUCGUUAGAGACAAAAACUAGCUGUUAGAAUCAAAUCUGUAUACUUUUAAAAAUUCUGCAGAACUAACC
rnacentral:lncRNA from 1 species